rnacentral:rRNA from 1 species
AUUGAACGCUGGCGGCAUGCUUCACACAUGCAAGUCGAACGGCAGCACGGGUGCUUGCACCUGGUGGCGAGUGGCGAACGGGUGAGUAAUGUAUCGGAACGUACCCGGCAAUGGGGGAUAACGUAGCGAAAGUUACGCUAAUACCGCAUAUGCCCUGAGGGGGAAAGUGGGGGAUCGCAAGACCUCACGUUGUCGGAGCGGCCGAUAUCAGAUUAGCUAGUUGGUGGGGUAAAGGCCUACCAAGGCGACGAUCUGUAGCUGGUCUGAGAGGACGACCAGCAACACUGGGACGGAGACACGGCCCAGACUCCUACGGGAGGCAGCAGUGGGGAAUUUUGGACAAGGGGGGCAACCCUGAUCCAGCCAUGCCGCGUGAGUGAAGAAGGCCUUCGGGUUGUAAAGCUCUUUCGGACAGAAAGAAAUCGCCACUUCUAAUAAAGGUGGUGGAUGACGGUACUGUAAGAAGAAGCACCGGCUAACUACGUGCCAGCCGCCGCCGUAA